GGGUAACGGGGUGUUAGGGCACGACACCGGAGAGGGAGCCUGAGAAACGGCUACCACAUCCAAGGAAGGCAGCAGGCGCGCAAAUUACCCAAUCCCGACACGGGGAGGUAGUGACAAUAAAUAACAAUACAGGGUUCUUUUGGAUCUUGUAAUUGGAAUGAGUACAAUUUAAAUCUCUUAACGAGGAACAAUUGGAGGGCAAGUCUGGUGCCAGCAGCCGCGGUAGUUCCAGCUCCAAUAGCGUAUAUUAAAGUUGUUGCAGUUAAAAAGCUCGUAGUUGAAUUUCGGGAUCAAUAUUUCGGUCAUGCCGUUGGUAUGCACUGUUAUCAUUGAUUUCUCACCUUCUAAAGAACCGUAAUGCCAUUAAUUUGGUGUUACGGGGAAUUAGGACUGUUACCUUGAAAAAAUUAGAGUGUUUAAAGCAGGCUCACGCUUGAAUACAUUAGCAUGGAAUAAUGAAAUAGGACAUCCGAUUCUAUUUUGUUGGUUUCUAGGAUCGAUGUAAUGGUUAAUAGGGAUAGUUGGGGGCAUUAGUAUUCAAUUGUCAGAGGUGAAAUUCUUGGAUUUAUUGAAGACUAACUACUGCGAAAGCAUUUGCCAAGGAUGUUUUCAUUGAUCAAGAACGAAAGUUAGGGGAUCGAAGACGAUCAGAUACC
rnacentral:rRNA from 1 species